UCGUCUCCAAAAUGAUUCUGGGAAUCAUUUGGUAUGGUAGGAGAUGGGUUAGUUUGAGCGAUAAUAAAUUGCAUUUCGCAACUCUUGAACUUCGAAUUCCCGCCGAAAAGAGACGCGUACUGGAACAUUACAGCAGAGGUUUCAAAGAAAUUCGGCGCUAAUAUAAAGAGGAGCCAAGCGACAACUCGGCAUCAACACUCUUUCCGAGUCUCCGGAUCGAAUUUCACUUCAACCCAGAGGUCCAGCACCAGUUGACGCGCCACAUUCAAAAUGAACCAACUUCUGUUUUUCUUCGUGCUGAUGAUCGUUGCCUUGGCAGUCCUCGGUGAUCCAGCAGUGUACAGCAAUCCGUGGAUGCUUCGUAGACCUUUCUACGGUGCGGAGUUCAGGAGACAGGAGAUUCCUCGUGCUAGCCUCAGCCAAGGCCAUCUAGGAUUUGGUGGCAUCAUUUUUGGUUGAUGGAGAUAUUGCUAUUCAAAACCAUAAAUACAGUAAUUUGAUUAAUUUGCUGUUGCAAAAAAUGUUUUAGUUUUAUCUAUAUGAAAUGCAGCGCAUUACAUACACCAAUAUAUUAUAACUGUUAACCACAUCGCUUACAAUUGUUGCACAAUUGUUUUUUUACUUCGAUUUGUCUUAUAUAUUUACACUUUUCCCUUGUUAACAGUGAAAUGUUAUUUGAGAGAUUUUUGUUUGAUUGCCGCUGUGAUUUAAAAGUAGCGAUAUCUCACUGAAUGAUGGAAAAAUACAUCUGGGAAUGAAUUAAA